rnacentral:rRNA from 1 species
UACGUAGGGUGCAAGCGUUAAUCGGAAUUACUGGGCGUAAAGCGUGCGUAGACGGUUAUUUAAGUCGGAUGUGAAAGCCCCGGGCUCAACCUGGGAAUUGCAUUCGAGACUGAAUAGCUAGGGUGCGGUAGAGGGAAGCGGAAUUUCCGGUGUAGCGGUGAAAUGCGUAGAUAUCGGAAGGAACAUCAGUGGCGAAAGCGACUUCCUGGACCAGUACCGACGUUCAGGCACGAAAGCGUGGGGAGCAAACAGGA